rnacentral:rRNA from 1 species
UACGAAGGGGGCUAGCGUUGUUCGGAAUCACUGGGCGUAAAGGGCGCGUAGGCGGCUUAUCAAGUCGGGGGUGAAAGCCCGUGGCUCAACCACGGAAUGGCCUUCGAUACUGGUAGGCUUGAGACCGGAAGAGGACAGCGGAACUGCGAGUGUAGAGGUGAAAUUCGUAGAUAUUCGCAAGAACACCAGUGGCGAAGGCGGCUGUCUGGUCCGGUUCUGACGCUGAGGCGCGAAAGCGUGGGGAGCAAACAGG